CCCAAAACCAAUUGCAAUGGGGAAUAUUUGUGUCAAUUCGUCAGUCAGAGACGAACUAGCGUGGCUGCAUGCAACAUGGCGUGACCCCAAACCGAAGUGGGCAGCCGAUGAACUAGCAUUGCUUUAUGCAAAAUGGCGUGACCCCAAACCGAAGUGGGCAACCGACAAACUAGUAUUGUUGUAUGCAAAAUGGCGUGAACCUAAGUCGAAGCGGGCAGCCGACAAACUAGCAUUGUUGCAUUCAA
rnacentral:lncRNA from 1 species